UUUCCGUAGGUGAACCUGCGGAAGGAUCAUUAUUGAGUUGUCAUGGGGUUCGAUGCUGGCAGCCAGUUUUUGGAUGCAUGUGCUUGCCCUAACAAUCAUCUUCUUCCAAACACCUGUGCACAUUUUUGAGGGAGUCUUGAGUUGGUUGCCGCUCUUGGGUGAUUUUCUCACAUUCCCUUAAAUCAUUAUACGCUAUUAACAAUGUUGAACGUGCUCUGUGCCGCAAGGCCAUUAAUAUAAUACAACUUUUAACAACGGAUCUCUUGGCUCUC
rnacentral:misc_RNA from 1 species